rnacentral:rRNA from 1 species
GACGAACGCUGGCGGCGUGCUUAACACAUGCAAGUCGAACGGUGAAGCGCCCUCCUUUUUGGUGGUUGUGGAUGAGUGGCUAACUGGUGAGUAACACGUGAGUAACCUGCCCCCUUCUUCUGGAUAACCGCAUGAAAGCGUGCCUAAUACGGGAUAUUCUGGGUCUGUCGCAUGAUUGGUCUGGGAAAGAUAUUGUUUCGGUGGGGGAUGGGCUCGCGACCUAUCAGCUUGUUGGUGGGGUGAUGGCCUACCAAGGCGGUGACGGGUAGCCGGCCUGAGAGGAUGGACCGCCACACCCGGCCUGAGACUCGCCCAAGACUCCGAAGGGCGCCAGGAGUAGCGAUUAGUGCUCGAUCGGCGCGCGAUUGUUGCAGCACCGCUGCGAGAGGGACGGUGGACGUCGGGUUGGGAAGCUCUUGCGCCAGUGAGGUAGGACUGGCGCGUGUGUGGAUUGGUUGACGGUAGAUGGAGAAGAAGCGACGGCUAACUACAUG